CUACGGAGGUUGCAAGCGUUAAUCGGAAUUACUGGGCGUAAAGCGUACGUAGGCGGUCCGUUAAGUUAGAUGUGAAAGCCCCGGGCUUAACCUGGAAACUGCAUUUAAAACUGGCGAACUAGAGUUGAGUAGAGGGGAGUGGAAUUUCAGGUGUAGCGGUGAAAUGCGUAGAGAUCUGAAGGAACACCAGUGGCGAAGGCGACUCCCUGGACUCGAACUGACGCUGAGGUACGAAAGCGUGGGUAGCAAACGGGAUUAGAAACCCUAGUAGUCC
rnacentral:rRNA from 1 species